GUUGGACGGUUAAGAAUGACAACCAUUAUUGUUAAUAUAGCUUAUUUCGAUCCCUCUGUAUAUUUUUAAAUACGACAUUUCUGUAAUUAAAUUUAGAAUAUUGGGUUUGGAGAAAUAAUAUUUUUUUUAUUUUAUUUUAGAAAAAAAUCCUAAAAGUAGAACUUUAUUUUAAUACAUAUGAAUAUGAAUAUACUUUUCUGACUUAAGACAUUUUUCAAGAGUGUUUCCUAUGGUAAGUAUGCGCUUAAUGAAAAUUUUUCAAGGCCAAGUUUUCCAGUUACUGAACUUACCCGCCAUUCGAAUUCAGAAGUUUACUUCUUCACCUCCCUUCGUCUCUCGCCGUCGCUGCCGCUCACCAUCGCCGUCUCGUGCGCUCACCACCGUCGUCACGUGAGCUCGCCGUCGCAGCUCACAAUCGUCGUCUCGCGCGCUCACCGUCGCUGCUCCCAAUCGUCGCAAGCCUCCUUGGCUCAUCAUCAUAGCUCACAUCGUCGUCUCGUCGCUCACCAUCGUGCACUCACUAGAUAAUCAUUCUCUGAUUCACUCUCUAUCUUCUCUUUCUUGCUCAUUACCUCACUUCUUCUGUCGUUUCAGUGUCGAAGAAGGUGCGUGUGGCUAUGAUGAUGAUGAUGAUGAACAACAAUGGCCAAACGAGGCAGAAAUGGUAUGUUUCGUUUUUCCUAAACUUGGUUCUGUGAAUUGGGGAGGUUCUGAGAUUAUAGGGUUUUUAAGUUUGGGGGCUUAGCUUCUGAAUGUGUAUUGUUUCUGGUUGUUGGGGUUCUAGGUUCUGAUUGAUAGAGAAUGUAUGUUUCUGAUUGUUAAGGUUCUAGGUUCUGAUUGUUAGAGAAGGUAGCUGAAGUGAGACAGAGAGUUUCUAACAUGGCAGGGGUUACGAACGAGGAAGUUCGAAUUGUGGCAUCUUCCUAUCGAAUUUGUCCUUUAGGGGCUCAUAUUGGUCAGCAGGAGAUUUUGAAGAGCAAGUUCGGUGCAGGUUCAUCAGUGAUCAUGAAGUCUUGUUGUUUUCUCUUAAGUAUUUUGUUGAAGUUUUCACCCCAUCACUUGUAAAUUAUCCUGUCAGCUGCAUUCACUCGGAUGUGUGCCACUUCUGUGGAAACAAUUAGUCUUACAACUUGGGCCUAGUGUCAAUUGUGAUACUAACUAGCUCGUUGGCAUUUCAACUGUCAGUUAUGAUCUUGUGUUAUUCUCAUUUUCAUUGUUGUAUCUUUUCUUACCUUCUCUUCCACUUUAUAUUAAAAACCUUGUUUGGCUAGG